CGACGUGUUUUCACAAGUUAAGAUGCUCAUAUUAUGAUUCCCGGUAAGGUCCCAAUGACUGGAGCUAAUAUUAAUCUGCACCGGUUAUUAUGAUUCCCAGUGACUGGCACAAGACCAGAUGAAGAGGUAUGACACUCUUCCCUUGCUGUAUUAUCAGUAACUCACUGACCUAUUUAGCCAAUGUCUGAUUGUUGAACAUUGUACAGACAAUUGGAAGAUUGAUUGCAACCUGAGAUAGCAAACAAAUAUUCCAGAAAGCAAUUCAGGAGCAGAGACGGGGCAAAAUAAUAAACACCGUGUUUGAAAUUCAAGAGCGCCACGAUGAAGUGUGAGAUUUGGAGAAGAUGCUUCUUGAUUUACAGCAGUUGUUCAAUAUGAGCAGAUGCAUGAAAAUACAGAUCACCAUAGGAAUGAAGUUGCAUCGAAGAUCAGAUUUGGGAGAGGACGUAUUUACAGAAUACAUUAUCAGUAAUUUUCCUCGUGCAGGUACUUGUGGAUAUGGAGGUUUUGGUCGA